UACGAAGGGGGCUAGCGUUGUUCGGAAUUACUGGGCGUAAAGCGUAUGUAGGCGGGUCGUUAAGUCGGGGGUGAAAUCCCGAGGCUCAACCUCGGAACUGCCUUCGAUACUGGCGACCUUCGAGUCCGGGAGAGGUGAGUGGAACUCCGAGUGUAGAGGUGAAAUUCGUAGAUAUUCGGAAGAACACCAGUGGCGAAGGCGGCGCACUGGCCCGGUACGGACGCUGAAAUACGAAAGCGGGGGGAGCAAACAGG
rnacentral:rRNA from 1 species